rnacentral:rRNA from 1 species
AUGCACGCUGGCGGCAUGCCUCACACAUGCAAGUCGCACGAGACCUUCGGGUCUAGUGGCGCACGGGUGCGUAACGCGUGGGAACCUGCCCUUAGGUUCGGAAUAACUCCCCGAAAGGGGUGCUAAUACCGGAUAAUGUCUUCGGACCAAAGAUUUAUCGCCUUUGGAUGGGCCCGCGUUGGAUUAGCUAGUUGGUAGGGUAAAAGCCUACCAAGGCGACGAUCCAUAGCUGGUCUGAGAGGAUGAUCAGCCACACUGGGACUGAGACACGGCCCAGACUCCUACGGGAGGCAGCAGUGGGGAAUAUUGGACAAUGGGCGAAAGCCUGAUCCAGCAAUGCCGCGUGAGUGAUGAAGGCCUUAGGGUUGUAAAGCUCUUUUACCCGGGAUGAUAAUGACAGUACCGGGAGAAUAAGCUCCGGCUAACUCCGUG